CUUCACUGUAUUGGUGACAGGCGCUAACAGCGCUAACCGUUGCGCCACCGGACCGCUAUAGAGUGAAGGGAAGUAAACAGUAGGAACAGCAUGAAAACAGAAUGUUUCUAUCAAAUAAUAGGUUAGCUUUUCGGUACUCAAAAGUAGUGCUGACAAAAUGUGUACUUAAGUGCAUAAAACACAGUGCUGGAGAUAGCUUGAUCAAAGGGCUAGAGUUUGCAGUUUAACAAGUCUGAAGAACUAAAUGGAGGUAAGCAAUGGAAGCAGCAUACAAGGAUCAAGGCUGUAAGAGAGAGAAAUAUAAAUUUCAUUGCAACUGUCUCACUGCAUGUCAAGGUUUGCAUAAAGGAGCAGAAAGAUGGGCAACGAUGAGGGUGAAGUAAAAAAACUGUGAAGAUACAGAGGUAACAGUAAUCAAGAAAAAAUUAUCAAUGAAGGAUUAUCAAGACAGACUAAUCAAGAGAUAUAAAACUAUAUAAAUACAUAAGAAAGGUGAGUGAGAAACCGGUUAGCAGUGGAUUGUGCUUACGAGUAGUGUUCACGAAAAAGAUUGGUGUUGAAAUCAAAGAUACUCAAUAUUCUAAGAUGGUUCAUAGCCCGAAAUCCACGAUGUACACACCGCCGACGGCGUUGCGCGCAGCGACCCUAGCGGUCUCCAUGGAGCAUAAUUUCAGGGGAGAUAACUGCAAGUGAUGAAGACAUUUUGUUUGUUGUCUGCUAAAUCUUAGUCCAGUAAUGUGCAUACCAUUACCAUCAUGAUAAUAUUUUGUCAACGUGUGCUACCAGUGUAUUAUCCUUAAAGUUUUUUUUCUACAUCAUUUUUUCUUCAUAAACACUAGCAAGCAACAAGCAAUUAAAAGGCCUACAUCAGUAGGCGUUAAGAGGAUGUUUACACUCAUAUUUAUCUUUUUAUUAUUAGUAUUCUUGUCUGAAUAUAUUUAGAAAUUUUCUUGCAUUUAAUCCUUUGGGUUUUUUAAAAAACUGUUUUUUGCUUGUUUUGUCUGUCCUACCAGUACACAGUCAAUAUGACAUGUGAACAAGAGUAUACUUACCAGAUUUUUCUUUCACACACACACACAUAAGAAUUAAGAAAAUGAAGUCAGAUAAAUUAAUGGUCAUGAUGUGAUGAAAAUUAGUGCACCGAUGUACUCAAAGACACUGUUUGUGUCAAGCUCACAUUUUAAAUUUAUUUGUACUUGACAGUCAGGCCAACCAGCUCUGUAUUAACAGUCAGUCUUCAAAUAGAAGUGUCAUAAAAAGCCCAAAAAAGUUAAAGUUAAAUUGUAAAUAGGACAAUAAAAGGACAUAAGUAAUAUUUUGAUAUUUUGAAAUACAGGAAAAGUGACCAGCUUAUGAAAACAUUAGACUCAAAUACACAAAUGACAAUCCUUAGGUAAACAUUUAAGUGAGCAUUAAACCACACAGCACAAAACAAUUUGCUUCAAAUAUUUCUUCAAAUUGCUCAAGUAAAUCUCAAGUGAUCCUAGGAUGAAAACAAAAUCAAUAGACAGAUAAAUAACAAAGUGCUGUGACAUGGAAAAUAAUCAAAAGUGAUUUAAUUUUAUAAACUUUCUGUUUCAUUGAGAAGAUUGACUGACAAACAGCCUUGUGUUUUCUUUUAAAAUAAAAUUUAAGCACACACUGUCGUACACUAUCGUUUUCAAGGGGAAAGAUUUACCAAGAGGUCACAAAUGACUGUUUCAAGACUUUGUCUGAAGCUGCACCAUUAGCCUUGCUGUCACUUGUCCAUGUGCAGAAUAUGUGCCAUGCAGGAAAUGAAUUUGUCUUCCAAUACCCGAAUAAUAUGAAACAACUAUGUGUUUGGUACAACCACACUUUCCUUUAGCGUUGGGUAUUGCUUAAGAGUUAGAAAUUGUUCAUGAUCUGUACUAGAAAGCUGGCCACUAUUUCACCUACUCUCCUUUAUAGCAAAUUCAUCAAAGUGAACAAAACUGUGAUCCAGCCAACAUCCCUGCAACUUUAUUCUUCAGUGAAUUAAGGAUAUUGUCAUUAAAUCCUGGAUAGACAUGAACUUAUGCCAUAGCACGUAGCCGUUUAAAUGCUUGGAAGGGCAAACAUUUUGUUAACCAUGUGAUAUGCCUUUGAGCUUAUUAUAUGAUAUAAUAACGAUGCAACGCACUUAUCUAUGUCUGACCAUCUCAUCUUUCGCUUUUUACCUAUUCGGAUCUGUGUCGCUGCAAAAUCAAGGGCAGGCUGAGGUAGAUGUUCAGACAAAUCUGUGAUGAGAGAUGUUUUAGAUCAGUUGUGGGUAAGGGGUGGAUACAAAAGGAAACGGAGUUUAAUGGAUUCAAUACAGCAUAACUUAAAAGCUGGUGAUCAUCUGCUACUGUUUUUGUGACAGGAGUAUAUAGUUUGAGCUUUUCAGAAGAAAAGUAAAGGAUUCUAAAUUUGCUGUAACUUUUCUCAUAACAAUCCCCGCAACCACCAAGCUAAACAUCUCUCAUCUUUUGGCUCGGUCAGCUGUAUAAAAGACUAGAGACAGGACUGCGAGAGAAAGAAUAAUGCAGUGACAGAGUACCUGGGGUUUGCCAGCUUCUUUCUACCCAACCACAGCAAGCAGUUCACAUCGUCCAUCGAUUCCAGACUCUGUGUUUGUGUCUAGAGAGCUUAUUGAGAUUUAGGUGACAUUAUCGGACAAUGGUGGGGUGGCGUUGUUCAAAGACAAGUUGGUGGUUACAGGUUCUCAGUGACACGGCUAUCGUUUUGCCGAUGCAAGCACUGCAGCUGCUGUUGUCAAGGCCUUGUCCAGAAUUAUGCAUUUGUUUGGCGUGAAUCUGUGUCCUGAGGUUUUCAAGUCCAUACACCAGACCAUUGUGUUUUACAACAAAACUUAACCACUACCUACAUCUCAGUAACAUGCCGGGAAGUUUUAUAUCAGACACUGCUGUCAGUUGCAUGUCUUCCAUAUCCAUCAUAGCUUUUGCAAGCUGCACCGCCUCUGCCUUCAGGGCCUGCUGGAUUCUAUCAAGUUGGAUCCCUAAAGAAACGGGGAAUGCCUUCCAUGGCGCCUAGCGAUAACAUUUUUUUACUUCUUUUAUUAAUAAGAAUUUUAUUAUUUAAUUAUUAUAAGCAUAAAUUAAUGUAAUGUGCUUUUUCGCCUUUAUGUCUGGCUGAUGCUGGAAAAAUGCGCCAUACAAAUGUGCUUUUUAUUUAUUAAACACACCUUUUAAGGCAAUGUAAUUAACCCGACCAUCCCAGUCCACAUUUUCACUACUAACGGGAAUUCAUUGAACACACGCGGCUCACUUGUGAAGGCUUGGUUGUAGAGUGUAGACAGACUGUCUCCGUGCCCUCGACACGCACGUAUCUGUUUCAUCAUGCAUACUUUGUAGUAAUUGUAGAACGUUUUCGCGGCAACGGCUUGAGCCUUUCUUAACCGAACCAAAAAUGGCGGAGCGCGCGUCACUCGCCACAGACUGGAGUGACGAGGAUUCAGAGGCCAACGUGCAGGAUGAAGCUACAAAAUAUGAGCUUGCACGGUCAGAAAUUUCUGGCCAAUAUAGACAAGAUGGAGACAGUUCUUCAGGGAAGGGUUUCGAUCUGGCUCCAGAUUAUGGAUCUUAUUAUUAUACUCGUCCUGCCACCCACCUGCCAAGACAAGGACCGGACGAAAUCAUUUUUGAUAUGAAGAACGGAACUCCUGAAAUUACAGAGGGUACACUCGGACGACUGCAUGGAAAGAACGAAGACAACAUGUUUGAAGCUCCUAUAAAAUCAAAAUCAGCGAAAGUUUUUGUAAUUGCAGCAAAGCAGACGGACAGGUAUCUGCUGGUACAGGGGGAACACACAACAAAGUGUAUUCGACUGCAACCUGAGACAACCCAGCAACAAAUCGUCGAAACAGCUUUUCCGGAAAAUCAUGGAAACAUGUCGGACGACGUGGUUUGCUUUUUUGUAAAAGAAAGUCGCUUGGAUCAGCUGGACUUGGUUCACAUGCUUGCAAAUUAUGAGCAGUGACCACAGUAAAAGUAGUUAGAAGCAAAGUUGUGAGAUUUGCAUUUGUGCACCGUUGCGAUGUAUUUUACGAAAAGACCUUUAUCGUCAAAGGAAAUAACACUGAUUGUUUGAAUGAACUAAAACUGAAAUUUCUCUCAUUCUUUUACGAAAAAGAAAAUAUUGAUACAGAGAUUAACCUGACUACGUUUGGUUUAUACUAAACAACAAAGUCCUGUCAGAACAAAUGUUGCAAUCAGCACUCUGUACGAAAUUCACCAGGAAAUUACUUCUCAGACUUCAAAAAUUGAGCUCCAUGAACAAUAACCUGACAAUAUUUGUUCACUUCCAACCACCUGAUGCGAUUCCUAUCAAAAUCCAGUUAAGAGCAGAUGGAAAGCCAAAUAAAAUCGAAAAAUUAACUGUAGUCUCCCAUCAGAUUUCGGAAUCACUUCUACGCCUGGAAGUGGCUCGUGUAACGGAAGCAAAACCAGAAGGUCUCGAAAUUCUUGUUUCAAAGAAGAAGCUGGAUGCUAAGCUUAACAUCCAGCAGGUAUUGCACAACAACUGCAUUGUUUCCGUGGAGGUUAAACAGGAAUCACCAUCGAGGUAGAGAUCUUGUAUGAAACUGAACCACUCCGUGAAGCGACUUGUGUCUCCGUUCGCAUGUACCCGUAUGACUGUAUAAGCAAACUUAAGUCAGAGGUGUGCACCCAGUAUUCUGCAAUAAAAGAAAACGUAGACAUAUACUUUGGAGAAAAAUACUUGACCGAUGAGAUGACUGUGAACGAAUGCCGAUUGAGAGAUACAGAUGUUGUUAAGGCACAUGUGUUCUUCAAACGAGUUUGUAUCAGAGUUCGAUCAACCAGUCGACGUCUGCAUGAUGUAGUUGUCGACGAUGCUGGAAAGACUACAGUCGGCGAUCUAAAUAUUUUUAUGCAGAAAAAUGAUAGAACGGCGCCAGCACAACACCCGUUUUCAACAACGGCUAUUUUCAAUGGCCGUAUUCUACAACAUGAUGAUACAUUGAUGAAUACAGGACUCUGCUCAAAAGCAUCCGUUCUAGUUUUUAUCCACACAGACACAACUUGUUUUACUUCGUCUUCCGCCCUGAAGGGAAAGUUGAUAGUCUAUUGCGACUCUGGACAAGGAUGGUUCCAGCCCACGUUGACAAUGUCUGAUGGAAAGGACCUUUGCUACGCACCUGAGGUUUCACAGACUACAGAGAAGAUACUUAGUCUGGUGGAAGAAAGGAGCCUCACCCCUCCAAUCUUGCAUGGCUCCGUGGAAGGGAUUCGAGUACUUUCAAACAAGCAGGCGACACAAAGUAAGCAGGUGAAACGAUAUCAGCAGCAGAACUCUGGCCGGACCGACUUACCUCCAUCAGUUCUAUGUUCUAGAAGACGUCGCCAGGUCUCGAACCCGUCUGCCCCCACGGUCCCUGAUUCUCCACGUUGCGGAGAGAGUCCUGGUGAUGGCGACAACAAAACGGUUAAUUGGUUUCUUGGCGACAGCCAGAAUGAAUCCGUCAGAUUCUCAGAACAAGACAGAAUAGCUGAUUCUCCGACCUUGCAGACUAAUUACCAGCACUCACUUCAAAAGAUGCAAGAAACACACUAGUGACUCAAAGACGAUCUACCUCCGAAACUUUGAAUAAUUUUCAAGACAUGACCUCAAAGUCUGAUGGAGAGUGUGUGAUGUCAAGAAAAAAAUUAAUGCACAAAUCGAUUUCUUUCCAAAGCAUUCAGAAACACCCCGACGGCAUGUUGACUAUCCAUCAGAUGUCGGAAAGUGAAACGUCACUACCUCCAGAAGCUGCCAAAGAGCAACAGUUCUUUGGGACGAAAUGGACCUUAGAUAAUUCCAUUGAGGAAACGAAAAACAACAGUUUACCUUUGCUACAGCACUUGCCUAGCAGCAGCAACUUUGAUUCUUCUUUCAGAUACAUAGACAGAAGAAUUGUUAAUGAGGUGGCCAAGCAGAUAGGCAAUAAUGGUCCAGAGCUAUGUCGUAAUCUUGGUGUCUUGGACAAAACGAUCGCAGAAGCACGAGAAGAACAUCCUGGAAAACUAACGGAACAAAACUACUUCAUGUUAACUUGCUGGUGCCGCUCUGCUGGCCGGAAGGGAACAAUAGAGGCCCUAAAGAAGGGACUGAGGGAGUGCCAGAGAAACGAUGUCGUAGCACUUAUUGACGAUCUUCAAAAGGAACUUUUGGCAUGUGAAGGAUUCCAGGAAAACGUACGAUGCUAGGGCUUAAGCCUUUUCACACACUUAACUAAGAUGGCGGAAGGUAGCCAGGCCUCAGACAGAAGCAGCGCAGGAAACCCUUUGAGUGAUGAAGAUGACAUGACACACUUGGACGUCGAGGACAUGUCUCUUGAGGCAGUGCCAAAAUCGAAAAUUCCCGUUCAAUCUGAUGACAGUUCAUCAUAUGAGAAGGAUUCUUCUGUCAGUUAUUAUGAUGCCCUCCCAAGAGAUGAAAGUAGGAACCCAUAUAACCUACGUGCUCGAAAUACGCGUGUACGCCAGCACAGCUAUCUCUCUAGCAGUGUGUCAAGUUCAACAGAACGACGAAACGUUAUUUUUGAUAUGAGGCACACAGAAGCGACUGGGUCUUGUGGAAAGUCGUAUAUUCCAGGUAAUCGUUCCUACCUGUCAUCCCAUUUUUCUGCUAGGGGAGACUCCAUCAUUGAGGUUUCUGUAAAAUCAAAAACCAUGAGCAUUUUUGUGAUCGCAGCAAAGCGGACAGACAGGUAUCUGCUUGUACAGGGCGAAGUGACGACAAGAUGUACUCGACUACAUCCUGAACUCACCCAGCAGCACAUCGUCCAAAUAGCAUUUCCAGAAACUAAUGAGCACACCUCAGACGAAAAGUUUUGCUUCUUUGUGAAAGAUCAUCGUUUGGAGAGAUUUGAUGUACUUCAUCUCCAGGCCAGUAGUGAGCAAGUAAUGACAGUAAAAGUAGUUAAAAUCAAAGCUAUCCGAUUUUCGUUUGUGUAUCGUUGCGGUGUAUUUUACGAAAAACACUUCAUCGUUAAAGGAAAGAACACGGACUGUUUGAGUGAACUAAAAUCAAAAUUUCUCGGAAGAUUCUUAAAAAACGAACAUCGUCACAAAGUCGUUCAUCCUGAUUGUGUUUGGUUUAUACUCAACAACAGAUUAGUUUCGGAGCAAGUGUUACAAUCAGCACUAUGUACAUCUUUUAGCAAGAGGUUACUAAUCAGAGAUGAAAGGUUGGGAGCAUACGGCUCCAAAAACAACUCUCUGACAAUGUAUGUUCACUUUCAAGCAGCUGAUGCAGUUCCUCUCAAAGUCCACUUUAAACCGGAUAGAAAGACCAGCAAAAUAGAGAUGUUAACUGUAAUAUCACCUUCAAUUUCUGAGACACAGCUGCGUCUACAGUUGGCGCUCGUUACAGAGGUGGAGCCAGAAGUCAUCAAAAUUGUUUUUGGAAAAAAGAAGCUGAAUGCUAAACUUGACAUUCAGCAAGCAUUGCGAGACAAUUCCAUUGUUUCAGUGGAAGUGAAACAGGAAAUCACUAUUGAGGUAGAGAUUUUCCAUCUACCUGAGUCGUCAGGUAAGGCAACAAGCAUCUCAGUGUGCAUGUACCCUUAUGAUCGCAUCAGCAAGAUUAAGUCAGAGGUGUGCACCAAGUGUCGUGCAAUGAAAGAAAAUGUGGACAUCUUUUUCGGAGACAAAUGCUUGUCUGAUAAGAUGACUGCAAGCGAAUGCCGAUUUAAAGACACAGACUCUGUCAAAGCAUAUGUGUUCUCUGAAAGGGUUUGCAUCAGAGUUCGAUCAGCCAGUCGACGUCUGUAUGAUGUAGUUAUCGAUGAUGCUGGAAAGACUACAGUAGGUGAUGUCAAGAAUUUCAUGCACAAAAUAGACAGUCCUACGUCCGCACAACACCAGUUUUCAACAGUCGCCAUUCUCGAUGGCCGAGUUCUUCAAGACGACGAAAUGCUUAUAAAUACAGGAAUCUGUUCAAAAUGUAAAGAAGCAGUUUUGGUUUUCAUUCACACAGACACCAUUUGCUUCACUUCGUCUUCCUCUUUAAAUGGAAAGUUUGUGAUAUUUCGUGACUCUGGAGAAGGAUGGUUUCAACUGACAUUGGCAAUGUCUGACGGAAAGGACCUUUUCUACGGUAAGAUGGUGUUAAUAAGUAAAAAUAAGGAUAGAUAUCUGGAGACGUUUAAAGCCAUUUUAAUAAUUUUAGUUAAAUCAUGUAAGUAUUUUCACGGAGGCUUUUGUAUUUCUGGUUUUGGCCAUUCUGGGCCGUUCAAAAUGAAAUGUCAGAAAAAGGAAAUGUCUUUCUCAAAAUACAUUAACAAUUUAUAAACCAUACGAUCAAAAAUUGGCUAAGCAAGUAAGAUGAAUAUUCAAAUAAUCUAUCACUGAAGUAUAUUUUAAGCAAUUAUACAUGUUUAAAAUAGAAUUGCAUAAUCAUGUGAAAUGUUGUCCGUUGAAUUAAGAAAACUACAUGGAUGCUUCAUUGCAAUAAUUCUGCAUAAUUUGCAAUUCUUUUAUUGUGUUUAAUAAUAUUUUGAAGCACCCGAGGUUUCUCCGACCAUAGAGAAGAUACUGAGUCUCGUGAAAGAGAGGAAUUUAACCCCUUCAGUCUUGCCUGGCCCUGUAGAUGGCAUUCAACUACUUCCACCCAGGCAGGUGACGAACAGAAAGAAAAUGGAAAGAUGUCGUACACAAAGCUGUGAAUUGACUGAUUUACCACCAUCACCUCAAUGGCAGGGAAGAUGUCGCCAUCCGUCCGAGGCCACCUGUCUUUCGCAUGAGCUUGAGAAUCAUGGUGAUCGUAACAACAGAAUAGUCGACUGGUCUCUUGGGGAUAGCCAGACUGAAGCUCAAAUCACAAAACAAGAUAGCAUAACUGACUGGCCUGCCUUACAGACAGAUUGCACACCAGGUCCCCAAACUUCCACACCUAAGACCGUCCGGCGCAGUGUAUCAGCAGGCAGUCUACGAGGAGUUGCCGGAGAUACUCGUGUCAGUCCAGCAAGAACUCUCAAGUUUCAACACUCCGUUUCCGACACAUUUUCGGAAAAUUUGCGCAAAUUUCAAGACUUGCCCUCGAACUCCGAUGGAGAAUUUGCAAGCUCUAAGCGAAGACAGUUUAUUCACAGGUCCUCUACCUACCAAAGCCUGCAGGAAGACGCUGAUGGCAAGUGGACACUGCGCCAGAUCUCAGAGAGUGAGACGUCACUUCCGGCAGAAGCAGCGCAGAAGCAGCUGGCCUGCGGGACCAACUGGAUUUCAACAGACGAUCCUAAAGACCGAGAGAAGGUGUACUGCUCUUCCUUGUUACAGUAUCUACCAGACAACACAACAAGCCUUGGGGAUUCUACUUUCAGAUACAUAAAGAAGACUAUUAUUCACGAGGUGUCCAAGAAAAUAGCUCGCGAUGGCAUGAAGCUAUGCCGUCAUCUUGGUGUCUUGGAUGAGACAGUGGAGGAAGCCAAAGAAGCACAUCCCCUGAACCUGUCGGAACAGAAUUACUACUUAUUGAAAUGCUGGUGCCGCUCUGCUGCAGAGAAGGCAACGGCUGAAGCUCUCAAAACUGCAUUGAGAGAGUGUCAGAGGAAUGAUCUUGUUGCUCUGGUUGAUGAUCUUCAAGUGGAACCCACGACAUGUUAAGGAAAAUGUUGCAAAAUAACAGUUAAUUCCUCUUAAAUAGUCUUAUAUCUCUGGUUCAUCCCUAAGUGAAAAAGGGAUACCGUGGGAUUAUCAUCUCUCAACUUGAGAUACAUGCCUUUUCUAAUAGAUACUUCUUAUUACAAUGACCACUGGUUUUAAUCGAAAAUAAAAUAAUGAUAAUAAAAUAAUUUGUAUAUUUUUCUGGAAAAUAUUUAAGAGUAAGAAUUUAAGGCGCGAGACGAUAGGACAAAUAUUGUAUAUAUGUGGCUAUGAAAUUUGAGAUUGUGAGCACACACAAUAUUUAAUUAGCAUUUAUUAAGCAAAGUCAGCAGGUCUAAGAAAUAUCUCAAAAUGAGAGAAAGAAAGAAAGUCUGGUUUCAAAGUACAUUCCCUUGUUCAUGUUAAAUAUAUAUGACUGUGUACUUUAUAGCUAAGUUCACAAUUGCUGGCCACUAUAGAUUCAUAUUUUUCUAUUUUGUCUGAAAAAAGUAUUGAUCAGAUAUCCCAUAUUUUUUCUAUUUUGUCUGAAAUAAAAUAUUGUUCAGAAUAUUUUUUCUAUUUUGUCUGAAAAAAAUAUUGUUCAGAUAUCCCAUAUUUUUUCUAUUUUGUCUGAAAUAAAAUAUUGUUCAGAUAUUCAAACAAUGUAUUGCAGUUAUACAUUACCAAAAGUUAUUCAUGUCAUAAAAUAAGCAU